GACGAACGCUGGCGGCGUGCUUAACACAUGCAAGUCGAACGGAAAGGCCCUGCUUUUGUGGGGUGCUCGAGUGGCGAACGGGUGAGUAACACGUGAGUAACCUGCCCUUGAUUUUGGGAUAACUUCAGGAAACUGGGGCUAAUACCGGAUAGGAGCUCCUGCUGCAUGGUGGGGGUUGGAAAGUUUCGGCGGUUGGGGAUGGACUCGCGGCUUAUCAGCUUGUUGGUGGGGUAGUGGCUUACCAAGGCUUUGACGGGUAGCCGGCCUGAGAGGGUGACCGGCCACAUUGGGACUGAGAUACGGCCCAGACUCCUACGGGAGGCAGCAGUGGGGAAUAUUGCACAAUGGGCGGAGGCCUGAUGCAGCAACGCCGCGUGCGGGAUGACGGCCUUCGGGUUGUAAACCGCUUUCGCCUGUGACGAAGCGUGAGUGACGGUAAUGGGUAAAGAAGCACCGGCUAACUACGUG
rnacentral:rRNA from 1 species